GCAUUAAUGGGGUAGUGGUAACCUGGGUCGUUGCCAUAUGAAACUUAGUUGUUUCGACCCGCCGGGGGUUCGAUUCCCCCUUAAUGCA
rnacentral:tRNA from 1 species